rnacentral:rRNA from 1 species
CGUCCUAACACGACGCUCACAACGAGACCUCAGGUCAGGCGGGACUACCCGCUGAGUUUAAGCAUAUCAUAAGCGGAGGAAAAGAAACUAACAAGGAUUCC